CAAGUGCACCCUUUUCCAUCCUCUGAUCUCGUGUUCGACGUUCAAAAUCGCACUUUGUUUGAGUUCGCCGACGCAAUCGCCGUGUUGUGUUUUUUCUCCUUCAUUUCACUUCUUCUUUUCAUUUUCCGUUACCUCCUUUUUCUCGU
ensembl:ncRNA T07F12.9 ncRNA